GAACGCUGGCGGCGGGCUUAACACAUGCAAGUCGAAGGAGAAGGUAGGAGCUUGCUUUUACUGGAGACUGGCGGACGGGUGAGUAACGCGUAGAUAACCUGCCUAUAGCUGGGGGAUAACACUGCGAAAGUGGUGCUAAUACCGCAUAAUGCAGCGGGGCCGCAUGGCCAUAGUUGUUAAAGGUUUCGGCCGGCUAUAGAUGGGUCUGCGUGCUAUUAGCUAGUUGGUAAGGUAACGGCUUACCAAGGCGAUGAUAGCUAGGGGGUCUGAGAGGAUGAUCCCCCACACUGGGACUGAGACACGGCCCAGACUCCUACGGGAGGCAGCAGUGAGGAAUCUUGCGCAAUGGGCGAAAGCCUGACGCAGCCACGCCGCGUGCCGGAAGACGGCCCUAUGGGUUGUAAACGGCUUUUACUAGGGAAGAACGAGAGGGUUUUGAUCUUCUGUGACGGUACCUAGUGAAUAAGCACCGGC
rnacentral:rRNA from 1 species